AUCUACCUCUUUGAUCGGAAGGGGUUCCUUCCGAUCAACGAGGUACAUCCUCGUUGACCGGAAGGAAACUCUUCCGGUCAACGAGGUAGAU
rnacentral:miRNA from 1 species